AUUGAACGCUGGCGGCAUGCUUUACACAUGCAAGUCGAACGGCAGCACGAAAGAGCCUGCUCUUGUGGUGGCGAGUGGCGAACGGGUGAGUAAUGCAUCGGAACGUACCGAGUAACGGGGGAUAACUGUCCGAAAGGAUAGCUAAUACAGCAUACGCAUUGAGAAGGAAAGUGGGGGCUCUUCGUACCUUACGUUAUUCGAUCGGCCGAUGUCUGAUUAGCUAGUUGGCGGGGUAAAGGCCUACCACGGCGACGCACAGUAGCGGCUCUGAGAGGAUGAUCCGCCACACUGGGACUGAGACGCGGCCCACCCUCCUGCGGGAGGCAGCAGUGGGGAAUUUUGGACGAUGGGCGCAAGCCUGAUCCAGCCAUGCCGCGUGUCUGAAGAAGGCCUUCGGGUUGUAAAGGACUUUUGUUAUGGAAGAAGAGGAUAGUGUUAAUACCAUUAUAUGAUGACGGUACCUAAAGAAUAAGCACCGGCUAACUACGUG
rnacentral:rRNA from 1 species